GAGUCAGAACAUGGCGAGAAUAGUCGGCGGGGGCAGACGCGAAACCAGCGUGAUCUACCCUUGGGCAGGCUGAAGGCGGGGUAACACCCGCUGGAGGGCCGCACCGGUAAGCGUUGAAAAGCUUUCGGAUGACCUGAGGGUAGGAGUGAAAGGCCAAUCAAACUUGGAGAUAGCUCGUACUCCCCGAAAUGCAUUUAGGUGCAGCCUCGGGACAUGUACCGCGGAGGUAGAGCGACUGAUAGGAUGCGAGGGCUUCACCGCCUAUCAAGUCCUGACAAACUCCGAAUGCCGCGGCACGAAUCCCGGGAGUGAGGGCGCGGGUGCUAAGGUCCGCGUCCGAGAGAGGAACAACUCAGACCACCGGCCAAGGCCCCCAAAUGCGGGCUAAGUUGAAGACCAUAACGAGGUGGGAUUGCCUUGACAGCUAGGAUGUUGGCUUGGAAGCAGCCAUUCAUUUAAAGAGUGCGUAACAGCUCACUAGUCGAGUGAUCCCGCGUGGAUAAUAAUCGGGCAUAAGCCCGCUGCCGAAGCCGUGGAAUGUCGCUUAGGGCGACAUUGGUAGGGGAGCAUUCCGUAGGCCCUAGAAGGUGCGUCGCAAGGCGUGCUGGAGGCAUCGGAAAAGCAAAUGUAGGUAUAAGUAACGACAAGGGAGGCGAGAAACCUCCCCGCCGAAAGACCAAGGGUUCCUGAACAACGCUAAUCGGUUCAGGCACAGUCGGGACCUAAGGGGCAGCCGAACGGCGGACCCGAUGGACAGCCGGUCAACAUUCCGGCACCCCGGCACGGAGCGAUGCGGCGACGGAGAAGUGACACACCCGCGCACUGACGGAAUAGUGCGUUGAACCGCGUAGCUAUAGGCGGCGUAGUUAAGUACGCGCCGGCUGGUGAGACGGGAUAGUACCGCGAGCCCCCGGGCAAGCGGAUAGCGGUGGUAACCAUGCUCCCGAGAAAACCCGCUAAGCAAUCCGUGACGGGCCCGUACCGCAAACCGACACAGGUGGUCGGGUAGAACAUACUUAGGCGCUCGAGUGAAUCAUGGUUAAGGAACUAGGCAAAUUGACCCCGUAACUUCGGGAUAAGGGGUCCCCUCCCCCGGGAGGGGCGCAGAGAAUAGGUCCAGGCAACUGUUUAACAAAAACACAGGGCCAUGCGAAGUUUAAAGACGAAGAAUAUGGCCUGACACCUGCCCGGUGCCGGAAGGUUAAGAGGAGACGUCAUCGCAAGAGAAGCGUUGAAUUGAAGCCCCGGUAAACGGCGGCCGUAACUAUAACGGUCCUAAGGUAGCGAAAUUCCUUGUCGGGUAAGUUC
rnacentral:rRNA from 1 species